rnacentral:rRNA from 1 species
GGAGGAAAGUAGGGGAUCGCAAGACCUUGCGCUUUUUGAGCGGCCGAUGCCUGAUUAGCUAGUUGGUAAGGUAAUGGCUUACCAAGGCAACGAUCAGUAGCUGGUCUGAGAGGACGACCAGCCACACUGGGACUGAGACACGGCCCAGACUCCUACGGGAGGCAGCAGUGGGGAAUUUUGGACAAUGGGCGAAAGCCUGAUCCAGCCAUGCCGCGUGAGUGAAGAAGGCCUUCGGGUUGUAAAGCUCUUUCGGUCGGGAAGAAAUAGUUGUGGCUAAUAUCCACAAUGAAUGACGGUACCGACAUAAGAAGCACCGGCUAACUACGUGCCAGCAGCCGCGGUAAUACGUAGGGUGCAAGCGUUAAUCGGAAUUAUUGGGCGUAAAGGGUGCGCAGGCGGUUGUAUAAGUCAGGUGUGAAAUCCCUGGGCUUAACCUAGGAAUUGCGUUUGAAACUACAAAGCUAG